AGAGUUUGAUCAUGGCUCAGAACGAACGCUGGCGGCGUGCCUAACACAUGCAAGUCGAGCGAGAAAGUCCCCGCAAGGGGAUGAGUAAAGCGGCGAACGGGUGAGUAACACGUGGGCAACCUGCCCUUCAGUCAGGAAUAACCCCGCGAAAGCGGGGCUAAUACCGGAUAACGUCCUUCGGGGGCAUCCUCGGGCGACCAAAGGGGGCGAGCGAAAGCGGCUCCCGCUAAAGGAUGGGCCUGCGGCUGAUUAGCUAGUUGGUGGGGUAGCGGCCUACCAAGGCGACGAUCAGUAGCCGACCUGAGAGGGUGACCGGCCACACUGGGACUGAGACACGGCCCAGACUCCUACGGGAGGCAGCAGUGGGGAAUAUUGCGCAAUGGGCGAAAGCCUGACGCAGCGACGCCGCGUGGGUGAUGAAGGCCUUCGGGUCGUAAAACCCUGUCGGGUGGAAUGUAUCUCCUUUUCUCUAAUACAGGGGAGGAUUGACGGUACCACCGAAGGAAGCCCGGCUACUACGUGC
rnacentral:rRNA from 1 species